rnacentral:rRNA from 1 species
AGAAUCAACGCUGGCGGCGUGCCUAACACAUGCAAGUCGAACGAGAAAGUGGAGCAAUCCAUGAGUAAAGUGGCGCACGGGUGAGUAACACGUGACUAACCUACCCUUGAGUGGGGGAUAACCUAGGGAAACCUGGACUAAUACCGCAUAAUACCUUCGGGUCAAAGGAGCAAUUCGCUUAAGGAGGGGGUCGCGGCCGAUUAGUUAGUUGGCGGGGUAAUGGCCCACCAAGACUGUGAUCGGUAU